GAUGAACGCUGGCGGCGUGCUUAACACAUGCAAGUCGAACGAAGCACUUUAUUUGAUUUCCUUCGGGACUGAUUAUUUUGUGACUGAGUGGCGGACGGGUGAGUAACGCGUGGGUAACCUGCCUUGUACAGGGGGAUAACAGUUGGAAACGGCUGCUAAUACCGCAUAAGCGCACGGCAUCGCAUGAUGCAGUGUGAAAAACUCCGGUGGUAUAGGAUGGACCCGCGUUGGAUUAGCUAGUUGGUGAGGUAACGGCCCACCAAGGCGACGAUCCAUAGCCGACCUGAGAGGGUGACCGGCCACAUUGGGACUGAGACACGGCCCAAACUCCUACGGGAGGCAGCAGUGGGGAAUAUUGCACAAUGGGCGAAAGCCUGAUGCAGCGACGCCGCGUGAGCGAAGAAGUAUUUCGGUAUGUAAAGCUCUAUCAGCAGGGAAGAUAAUGACGGUACCUGACUAAGAAGCACCGGCUAAAUACGUG
rnacentral:rRNA from 1 species